UACGUGUAUGAGUCAAGUUAACAACAUGUUAACACCAUACACAAAUGUGAAACGGUCAGUUUGCCCAAAGCUGCGGUGGAGGUCGCUUGUAUUUCUUUUUCUCUACAAACCUCUUAAAGAAAUUUGAAAAAAAAAAAGGUGUUUUGGUGUCUGUCUGCCGCCUCUCACUGCCGGUGCAGCAAUGAGUGACUUUGGAGACUUCGACGACUGUGAUGUUGACUGUAUGGAGUGUGAAGACUGUGAGGAGUGUAAUGACAACCCCUUUACCAAACUCUUCUGCUGCCUCAUCAAGAGAGCCAGAAAAAGGAAAGCCGAUCGUCGCAAGAGGGGAAAAGGAAAAGAGCAAGCAGACGAACAAGAAGAAAUCAUCAGCCAGCCUGAGGCUGCACCUCCGCACCUCGCCACCUCUGCCUAGCUGCUGAUGGUUUUCUUAACAUAUCCAAUGAUUGUCAAUAGAGAAAGAAAAAUAGAGUGAAGAUUGGGGGAGUUUGCAGACCUAUAGGAAACUGCCCAGAUGGGGGCGACUUCCUAAGUAACAUUUGACGCAUCAUGUUUCCUCCCUAACUUUUUUUUUUCUUCUUUCAAUUGAAGCAAAGUUGUUCUCUACAGUAGGUUGCUCUUUAAUACAAGUUUGUUUAUAAUCAUAUUCUCAUGUUAUCCAAACCGUUAUUCUUUCCAUUGCUUUUUAUGCUCAUUAGUCUUCAUUCUACGAUUUUAGAAAAGCUCCGGCUCUCUGAGGCAUAUGAGAGGACUAAUAAAAUGCAUUAGUUAUCUACA